AUGAACGCUGGCGCGUGCCUCAUACAUGCAAGUCGCGCGAACAGACGCGGAGCUUGCUCCUCUGACGUUAGCGGCGGACGGGUGAGUAACACGUGGAUAACCUACCUAUAAGACUGGGAUAACUUCGGGAAACCGGAGCUAAUACCGGAUAAUAUAUUGAACCGCAUGGUUCAAUAGUGAAAGACGGUUUUGUUGUCACUUAUAGAUGGAUCCGCGCCGCAUUAGCUAGUUGGUAAGGUAACGGCUUACCAAGGCGACGAUGCGUAGCCGACCUGAGAGGGUGAUCGGCCACACUGGAACUGAGACACGGUCCAGACUCCUACGGGAGGCAGCAGUAGGGAAUCUUCCGCAAUGGGCGAAAGCCUGACGGAGCAACGCCGCGUGAGUGAUGAAGGUCUUCGGAUCGUAAAACUCUGUUAUUAGGGAAGAACAAAUGUGUAAGUAACUAUGCACGUCUUGACGGUACCUAAUCAGAAAGCCACGGCUAACUACGUG
rnacentral:rRNA from 1 species